rnacentral:misc_RNA from 1 species
GAAAUGCGAUAAGUAGUGUGAAUUGCAGAAUUCAGUGAAUCAUCGAAUCUUUGAACGCACAUUGCGCCCCUUGGUAUUCCAUGGGGCAUGCCUGUUCGAGCGUCAUUUGUACCCUCAAGCUCUGCUUGGUGUUGGGUGUUUGUCCCCGUCUCCGCGCGCGGACUCGCCCCAAAGUGAUUGGCAGCCGGCGUACUGGUCCCGGAGCGCAGCACAUGUCGCGCAAACGAGUGCCUUGGUACGGCGGCGUCCAUAAGCCCCUCUCUCACGCUCUUGACCUCGGAUCAGGUAGGGAUACCCGCUGAACUUAAGC